CUUUUUUGAGACUUCAGGCCUUUCUCUUGUUAGUAGUUGCUCUUGCCCCUACGAGGUAGAGUGGUGUGGUUCUCCAUCCCUCCUCCUGUUUGUGGGUUGCUCUCCUCCACUUCUAGGAGACUGUAGAUAGUUUCUUGGUUCAUGGUUCUUGGCAGAUUGGAGCUUCAACGGAGAGAGAAACCUGUCUUAAUCAGCCUUCCUUUUUAGUAGCUUUUAGAUUUUUCUUUCUCCACAAGAGUGGUUCAAUGGACAUGAUUUAUGUCCUGCGUGGGGCUGGCUUGCUACAUUGCAAUGGACGUCUGUUUGUGCAGAGAGGUUGCAUGCACUUCUUCUAGCCUCCCUCAUCUUUAGUGAAGAAUGG
rnacentral:misc_RNA from 1 species